rnacentral:rRNA from 1 species
AUGCUGCCGUCCGGCUCCAAGCACCCUCGAGCAUCACAAGGGCGUCAGUUCUGGCGCGCAUCCAGGAGGAGGAGUUGGGCACACACCACGCGCGCCCACGGCCAGCACCUUCAGCCCGGUCGCCGCCACCACCAGGCCCAGUGCCGCCGCGCCCUGUGGUCGCUGCUAGGCCACAGGGGGACGAGUUUGCGUGUGAGCGGCAGCUCAAGGAUUUUAGGCGCGCUAAUGGCUUAUGCUUCAAAUGUGGUGAUCGCUACUCCAGAGAGCAUCACUACAAACACACAAGCUCAGGUCCUCACAAUCCAAGUGGGCAGCUAUGGGGAACUUCUCUCGGACGAAGCGAUCAAUGCACUCAAACUGCUUCACGCGCCAGCGGUUGUUGCACCACCACCAGAGUGUUGCAUGCUCUCCACGCAUGCUCUGGAUGGCACCGACGCACCCAGUAGAAUCCGUCUGCGUGCCUUGGCGGGAAAUCAAGUUAUGUUGCUCCUUGUGGACUCUGGGAGCACGCAUAGUUUCAUCAACAAGGCAUUCGUCGACCGCAUUGGUGCCACCACCGAAGAGCUCCCUCCCGUGGAAGAGUGCGUGGCCAAUGGUGACCGCCUCACCUGUUCACGCAUGGUACUUGAUCUGAAAUGGUCGCUUCAAGGGCACACGUUCUCCACUCGGAUGCGUGAGCUCGAGAUCGGUGCCUAUGACGGCAUACUUGGCAUGGACUGGUUGGCUCAGUUCAGCCCCAUGACUUGUCAUUGGCAGGACAAGUUCAUCUCCUUCGACCAUGAUGGCGAACACGUAACCUUUCAAGGUGUUAGACUGAAGGCCGCCCCGACCAUAACAGCGAUGGAGCCAGAAGAACUGCGUAAGUGGAUUGCUGGCAACGAUGUUUGGGCAAUGGCCGUGGUGGAUGCUCUGCCAACACGACAGGCCCCGCGCAAACCAUCAAUGACACCACUCAGUGACUUGCUUGAGGAGUUCCAGGAUGUCUUCGCGGAUCCCAAGAGUCUGCCCCCACAUCGUCAGUACGACCACGCUGUUACCUUGGUGGACGGAGCACGGCCAACCAACACACGCCCGUAUCGCUACUCUCCGCUCCAGAAGGAUGAGAUCGAAGGGCAAGUCCGGGAGAUGCUCGACUCCGGCGUCAUAACCCACAGCGUCAGUCCCUAUGCUGCACCAGUGCUUCUCGUCAAGAAGAAGGACAACACUUGGCAUUUUUGCAUCAACUAUAGGAGGCUCAAUGACGUCACAAUUAAAAACAAAUUUCCCCUGCCAAUUGUUGACGAACUUCUCGACGAGCUCGCAAAUGCCGCACACUUCUCCAAGCUUGACCUUCGUGCGUGCUACCAUCAAAUCCGCAUGAAGGAAACCGACGAGGACAAGACCGCCUUCAAGACACACCAUGGGCACUUCCAGUUUCGGGUCAUGCCGUUCGGGAUGACGAACACCCCUGCAACUUUCCAGUGCUUGAUGAAUGCCAUAUUCGCGGCUUACACUCGUAAAUUGGGUUGUGUGCAAUGGCAUAGUCUGAUAAGGGGAUGCCUCAAGUUGGCAUGUUAUUUAAAAGUUCAGAGGAGGCUUGGCUAUUUUGGAGAGCAUAUGGUGGUCGUGCUGGCUUUGAUGUGA